AAUAUGCCUAAAUUUUUUUACCAUGUAAAAGUAACCGGGGUGGAUGUACUUGCGUUUGCUGAAUGCCAUACGCUAAAUUUUUUUACCAUGUAAAAUUGGUUAAACAAUACUGUAAAUUUUUUUACCAUGUAAAAUUUGUUAAACAAUACUGUAAAUUUUUUUACCAUGUAAAAUUUGCUGGUGUGGACUUAGAGAAAUUUUAUACUGUAAAUUUUUUUACCUUGUAGAUUUUGCUCUACAGGGUGUGGGGUGGACUUGACUUCUUUUUUUUUUUUAAUGAACUUCAGGGCUAGUU
rnacentral:misc_RNA from 1 species